AUUGGCUGGUUUUGAAUUCCUGACGUUCAAAGUCCUCAGAGGAGGAGUCCUAAAGAUCUAAAUCAAUGCAUAUGUGUGUCUUUUGGUUGGUGCAUGACCUCUUUGGUUUAAAAUAAAAAUGGAGUAGCUAUUUUUACAUCACAAAGUAGGAAGAAUGUAGUUCUACAGGAUUUAAGCAAUGGACUACAUCUCCUACUAGUUUUUUAUCAUUGUUAUAAGUAAAUGCUUAUGAUUGAAGUUAUGAUUAGCAUGCAGUCACAUUACUAAUGAAUGAAACACUUUAUUUAGGUAUGAAAAACAUACCUAACUACUCUAUUUGAUCCUCAAAUUGUUUUAUUUAUAAUCAGAAAAUGUUUAACCAGAGUUAAGCAACAUGUCGUAGACCUGUGAAUAACUAACAACCUCUAGCACACACACACACCCACAAACACACGCACACACACAUAUAUGGAGUUGGGACAGAAAGAAACCUGUUGUACGAGAUGAAAAGCACCACAUGAAUGACAGGACGUCUCACUGCUGUUGACGUAUUUCUGAGACUUCCUUAGGAGGAUUUUGCGGUAGAGCUGUAGAAUACACGCAGUGUUAAAGGGACCCUUAAUCUACCAGAAGUAGAACACCCACGAUGGAAUUUGCUUGUGGGUUUGUUUAUGUGCCACCAUCAGCGAGUCAGAAGGACAGUCCACGGGGCAACGUAAACCUCGUUAAGCGUUCAGCUCUUCUACCUCCUGUUGGCCGGUGGGUGCGUCCUCAAACUCCUCCACCUCCGCCCCCACUAAACCCCGCAGAAGCCAGAUCAGCUAAAUCUCCACUGUCCAGGAAUACUGAAGGUUUAAACAAGAACAUGGAGAUGAAUUCUGCAAAUGCAGAAGUUCACAGCAAACUUGCUGCCGGUUUUCCUGUCAGUACAACUCAGCCAACAACACCUCGAAAAACUGCCCUCCUUCCUCCGCAUAUGAAGCUGGCAGCGAACAGCCAAUCUUGGAGUUCUCCUAACACAAACAGUCAGCCACAGACCUUUGGCCUCCCCAAAAAUGAGCCGGAUUCAAACGAGCAAAACUGGAACCCAGACUGGUCGUGCAGCAUGGCCCAUGGGAGGGUCGUGCACGUGAAGCUGGGGAGUGGGUCAGCUCAAAUAACAGCCCCACCACUUCCUCUGAAACCAUCCUUCAUGGGGCCAGAAUACUUGACUGUGUUACCGGCAUCCGUCUCAUCCCCUCAAUCAUCUCAGAAAUCCCUUUCAGAACAAACAGACCCACCAUCGCCCACCAGUAAAGGAUCAGCCGAUAAAGCGAUCUUGCCUGGAAAUCCUAAUGUGGUGCUUGUCAGUUUGGGAAAGAUAUUGUCGGAGCAAAAAGUACAGACCACAAAAGGAAAACCUACAUCGUGCACCCAGUGCGGCUCCGUCCUUGACUCAACUUAUGACAACAUGGUUAACACGUGCUACUUCUGCCAGGACUUGGACAACCACUCCAGUUUACCACAGGAGCCCCCCGCCGGUUACCACGACAACCUGUUUUUGCUCAAUUCUGACGAAAAGCCGCUCUCAGCAGAAGCUCUGCUGCUCUUUUGCAUCGACGUCUCUGGUUCCAUGAGCAUGACCUUCCAGGUGAGAACCGCCCAACGGAUGGA
ensembl:lncRNA